rnacentral:snoRNA from 1 species
AACCCAUGGUGAGGGCACCUUCACAAUAAAUCUUUGUAUCUCUCCCAUGCAUCAUAAAGUCUUUCUAAAUCUAUCUGCUCAAGAGAAGAGAUAUCAUUCCUUAACUU